rnacentral:rRNA from 1 species
GACGAACGCUGGCGGCGUGCUUAACACAUGCAAGUCGAACGAUGAAGCCGGAGCUUGCUCUGGUGAAUUAGUGGCGAACGGGUGAGUAACACGUAAGUAACCUGCCCUUGACUCUGGGAUAACUGCGGGAAACUGUAGCUAAUACCGGAUACGACCCUCGGAGGCAUCUCCUGGGGGUGGAAAGAAUUUCGGUCAAGGAUGGACUCGCGGCCUAUCAGCUAGCUGGUGAGGUAAAGGCUCACCAAGGCGACGACGGGUAGCCGGCCUGAGAGGGUGACCGGCCACACUGGGACUGAGACGCGGCCCAGACUCCUACGGGAGGCAGCAGUGGGGAAUAUUGCACAAUGGGCGCAAGCCUGAUGCAGCAACGCCGCGUGAGGGAUGACGGCCUUCGGGUUGUAAACCUCUUUUAGUAGGGAAGAAGCGAAAGUGACGGUACCUGCAGAAAAAGCACCGGCUAACUACGUGCCAGCCGCCGCCGUAA